CAAAAAUAAAAUAAAAUAAAAAAUACAAAUACAAAAUUAGCCGGGCAUGGUGGUGCAUGCCUGUAAUCCCAGCUACUCGGGAGACUGAGGCAGGAGAAUUGCUUGAACCUGGGAGGCACAGGUUGCCGUGAGCGGAGAUUGUGCUAUUGCACUCUAGCCUGGGCAACAAGAGGGAAACUCCGUCUCCAAAGAAAAAAAAAUGAAUAGAAUUCAGCAAUAUAUGAAAAGAAUUAUAUACUAUGACCAGGUGGGGAUUAUUCCAGGGAUGCAAGGCUAAGUCAAUAUUCAAAAAUCAAUCAAUGAAAAAAAAUCAAUCAAUGUAUUCCACCCUGUUAACAGGCUAAAGAAAAAUCAAUUGACAGAGAGAAAGCACUUGACAAAAUUCCGUACCCAUUCAUAAUAAAAACUCUCAGGAAACUAGAAAUAAAAGGGAAUUUUCUCAAUUUGAUAGAGUAUCUACAAAAAACCUACAACUAGCAUCAUACUUCACAGUGAGAGACUGAAUGCUUUCCCCCUGACUGAACACAAGGCAAGCAUGUCCACUCUCACCAAUCUUAUUCAACACAGUGCUGGAAAUUGUAGUCUGUGUAAUAAGAAUAGGAAAAGAAUUUUAAAAGCAUACAUAUUGGAAAGAAAGAUAUCAGGCGGUCCUUAUAAUGGCAUGAUGGCCUUUAUAGAAAAUUUCAUGAAAUCUAAAAAAAAAAAAAAAGCUAGAACCAGUAAGUGAAUUCAGCAAGGUCACAAUACAAAAUCAACAUACAAAUAUCAACAUAUAUAUAUUAGCAAUGAAAACACGGACAUCAACAUUUAAAACAUAAUAUUUAUAAUCACAGAAAAAGGAAAUAUUUAGGUAUGAAUCCAGUAAAACAUGUACAAGACUCAUAUGAUGAAAACUAGAAAAUGGUGUUGAAAGAAAUCAAAGAAGAUCUAAAUAGACAGAUAUACUGUUUUCAUGACUUCAAAGACUCAUCACAGUAAGGAUGUCAAUUCUCCCUAAAUUAAUAUACAAGUUUAGUGCAAUUCCUAUCCAAAUCCCAGCAUGAUUUUUGUAAAUAAAGAUUAUUAUAAAAUGUAUGAGGAAAGGCAAAUAAACUAGAAUAGCUGAA
rnacentral:lncRNA from 1 species